rnacentral:lncRNA from 1 species
AUGGAGGCAGAGCGAGAGAGGGGCCCAGAGAGAGAAGAGAGGGAGAGAGAAGGAGAAUCUGUGGGAGAAGGGGACUUGGAGAGAGAGGGAGAAAGUGAACAAGAAGUAGAAAGAGCAGAAGCGAUAGAGAGGACAAGAGAUGUCAUUGGAUCCCUUAUUGGACUGCCGUAUACCACCCUAUCCAGCGAGGACCCCACUGUGCUGCCUGGCGAGGAGACAGAGCUGCCCAUGGAGAUGCCUGCCGCACUCGCAGAGGAGAGGACACCAGUGUCUGUCCCUUUGCCCCCUUCCACACACGGUGAACCAGAGGAGCGAGGGAUGGCUAGAGAGAGGGGGAGAUGGAGAGAUAGCCCCACCCAACAGGAUGUUACUCCCCCAGUGAAGCAACCUCGUAGGAGGCAGCUGCUCUUCAUCGACCAGGAAACACAGAUAUCCCAGGAGGCACUGCAGCAACAGAUAGACAACACUCUCAUACAGACCAGGCCCCUGGUUGUAAUCAGUGGUCCCUCUAAGAGAACAGUGUCUCCAGUUGAUCUCCUUGGUAACCCAUGCACCACCCUCCCUCCAGAGCUGCUGUUGCCAUGGAAACGGGUGGCGAUCGUCGCAGCGCUCACUGGCUCCGCCCUGCUGGUAGGGAGGACAGAGACAGACUCUGAGUCAGAGAGAGAGAGGGAUAAAGAGAGAGUGAUGAAGGCAAAGGAGGAGGGAGGCAGAGAGCAGGAGGGAGAGCUCAGCUCAAAAGAGGUGAGGCGGGAUCAAACUGUUUUUUUGGUGACUACACGUGUGCACCUAAUAACUGGACAAUGA